AUCCAACCUUCCGGUAACUCCGGUAUAGCCUUUCGAAAGAAAGAUUAAUCCCGGAUAGUAUGGUGAUUCCGCAUGGUUUUUCCAUUAAAGGAUUCCGGUUACCGAUGGGGAUGCGUUCCAUUAGGCAGUUGGCGGGGUAACGGCCCACCAAACCUACGAUGGAUAGGGGUUCUGAGAGGAAGGUCCCCCACAUUGGAACUGAGACACGGUCCAAACUCCUACGGGAGGCAGCAGUGAGGAAUAUUGGUCAAUGGGCGGAAGCCUGAACCAGCCAAGUAGCGUGAAGGAUGACUGCCCUAUGGGUUGUAAACUUCUUUUAUAAGGGAAUAAUUGCGGGUACGCGUACCCGUUUGCAUGUACCUUAUGAAUAAAGAUCGGCUAACUCCGUGCCAGCAGCCGCGGUAAUACGGAAGAUCCGAGCGGUAUCCGGAUUUAUUGGGUUUAAAGGGAGCGUAAGCCGGCGCUUAAGUCAGCUGUGAAAGUUUGGGGCUCAACCUUAAAAUUGCAGUUGAUACUGGGUGCCUUGAGUGC
rnacentral:rRNA from 1 species